UCAAAUUUAACGGAUAAAAUGCUCAACCCUAAGUUCUAGGGAUUACUUGAACAUAUCAAAUUCAGAAACAUGAACAUAAAUAUACAUGAAUACUGCUAACAAACUUAAAAUAACAUUUGCAUAUUUGAACCAUAUAAUUAAGCAUGAGUUCACUCUAAUUUCAAACAACUUCGAUAUACUGUAAAUAUUUAAAAUGAUUACAUAUUACUAUUUUCUCACGCAGACAAAGGGAAAAUGUGAUAUAACUUAUGGAAUGAAAAGUUAGUUAUCAUAGAUUGAGUUUUUUCUUUCUUUUUGCAACCAAUAUUUUUCCAAGAAAACAAGAUUAUUCACAUUUUGA
rnacentral:lncRNA from 1 species